AGUUCUAUUGCGGGAUUUGAACCCAGGUCCCCUUCAUUGAAAGUCAAUAGUACAUACCACUACACCACGGAUAUAUAAGC